rnacentral:rRNA from 1 species
UACGGAGGGUGCAAGCGUUGCUCGGAAUUAUUGGGCGUAAAGGGUAGGUAGGUGGUCUCAUUUGUCUGGGGUGAAAGCCUUGAGCUUAACUCAAGAAGUGCCCCAGAAACGGUGAGACUGGAGUCCUGGAGAGGGUCGUGGAAUUCCCGGUGUAGCGGUGAAAUGCGUAGAGAUCCGGAGGAACACCAGCGGCGAAGGCGGCAUCCUGGACUGGUCCUGACACUCAUGAGCGAAAGCGUGGGGAGCGAUCAGG